rnacentral:rRNA from 1 species
GACGAACGCUGGCGGCGUGCUUAACACAUGCAAGUCGAACGGUGAAGCCCCAGCUUGCUGGAGUGGAUCAGUGGCGAACGGGUGAGUAACACGUGAGCAACCUGCCCCAGACUCUGGAAUAAGCGCUGGAAACGGCGUCUAAUACUGGAUACGAGAUCACGCCGCAUGGUUAUGGUCUGGAAAGUUAUUCGGUUUGGGAUGGGCUCGCGGCCUAUCAGCUUGUUGGUGAGGUAAUGGCUCACCAAGGCGACGACGGGUAGCCGGCCUGAGAGGGCGACCGGCCACACUGGGACUGAGACACGGCCCAGACUCCUACGGGAGGCAGCGGUGGGGAAUAUUGCACAAUGGGCGGAAGCCUGAUGCAGCGACGCCGCGUGAGGGAUGACGGCCUUCGGGUUGUAAACCUCUUUCAGCAGGGAAGAAGCGAAAGUGACGGUACCUGCAGAAGAAGCACCGGCUAACUACGUG